GUAGGGUGCGAGCGUUAAUCGGAAUUACUGGGCGUAAAGCGUGCGCAGGCGGCUUUGCAAGACAGAUGUGAAAUCCCCGGGCUCAACCUGGGAACUGCAUUUGUGACUGCAAGGCUAGAGUACGGCAGAGGGGGAUGGAAUUCCGCGUGUAGCAGUGAAAUGCGUAGAUAUGCGGAGGAACACCGAUGGCGAAGGCAAUCCCCUGGGCCUGUACUGACGCUCAUGCACGAAAGCGUGGGGAGCAACCAGGAUUAGAUACCCUGGUAGUCCCACGCCCCUAAACGAUGUCAACUGGUUGUUGGACGGCUUGCUGUUCAGUAACGAAGCUAACGCGUGAAGUUGACCGCCUGGGAGUACGGCCGCAAGGUUG
rnacentral:rRNA from 1 species